rnacentral:rRNA from 1 species
UACGUAGGGGGCAAGCGUUGUCCGGAUUUAUUGGGCGUAAAGAGCGUGUAGGCGGUCAGGUAGGUCCGUUGUGAAAACUCGAGGCUCAACCUCGAGACGCCGAUGGAAACCAUCUGACUAGAGUCCGGAAGAGGAGAGUGGAAUUCCUGGUGUAGCGGUGAAAUGCGCAGAUAUCAGGAGGAACACCAAUGGCGAAGGCAGCUCGCUGGGACGUGACUGACGCUGGAGACGCGAAAGCGUGGGGAGCAAACAGG